ensembl:lncRNA
ACAGCGUGAAAACGGAAACAAGAAGUAUGCCGGCUCACUGUGCUGCAUACAGUUACACACUGCGUCGUACGAUUGAGACAAGGAAACUUGGAAUGACUUUUCAUAGGUUUCCCAGAGACUAUGGGUUGAGGAGGAAUUGGAAGUUUGUCGGCUUAGACCUGGUGUCAUUCCAUCAGUGUUAAACUUCCCGGCUCAUCUUGGAAGAGUACGUGCCAGAAAGACCACAACCAAGCAGCCUUGAGAUCUUAGGCAGCGUCUCCCUCAGACCAAAGAACUACAGACUCUUCACAACCUGCUCAAACUCUUGGUACAGGACCUCACCACACGGGUCAAGAAGGUUUCCAUCUCAUUUCUACUCUGAAGCUUAC